rnacentral:rRNA from 1 species
UACGGAGGGGGCUAGCGUUGUUCGGAACUACUGGGCGUAAAGCGCACGUAGGCGGCUUUGUAAGUUAGAGGUGAAAGCCCGGGGCUCAACUCCGGAAUUGCCUUUAAGACUGCAUCGCUAGAAUUGUGGAGAGGUAAGUGGAAUUCCGAGUGUAGAGGUGAAAUUCGUAGAUAUUCGGAAGAACACCAGUGGCGAAGGCGACUUACUGGACACAUAUUGACGCUGAGGUGCGAAAGCGUGGGGAGCAAACAGG